UACGUAGGUGGCAAGCGUUGUCCGGAUUUACUGGGCGUAAAGGGCGUGCAGGCGGUUUGUUAAGUGCAGGGUGAAAGCUCCCGGCUCAACUGGGAGAGGUCCUUGCAUACUGGCGAACUCGAGGGAGGCAGAGGAAAGUGGAAUUCCCGGUGUAGUGGUGAUAUGCGUAGAUAUCGGGAGGAACACCUGUGGCGAAGGCGGCUUUCUGGGCCUUACCUGACGCUGGAGACGCGAAAGCGUGGGGAGCGAACCGG
rnacentral:rRNA from 1 species